rnacentral:rRNA from 1 species
AGUGAACGCUGGCGGUAGGCCUAACACAUGCAAGUCGAACGGCAGCACAGUAAGAGCUUGCUCUUACGGGUGGCGAGUGGCGGGCGGGUGAGGAAUACAUCGGAAUCUACUUUUUCGUGGGGGAUAACGUAGGGAAACUUACGCUAAUACCGCAUACGACCUACGGGUGAAAGCAGGGGAUUUUCGGACCUUGCGCGAUUGAAUGAGCCGAUGUCGGAUUAGCUAGUUGGCGGGGUAACGGCCCACCAAGGCGACGAUCCGUAGCUGGUCUGAGAGGAUGAUCAGCCACACUGGAACUGAGACACGGUCCAGACUCCUACGGGAGGCAGCAGUGGGGAAUAUUGGACAAUGGGCGCAAGCCUGAUCCAGCCAUACCGCGUGGGUGAAGAAGGCCUUCGGGUUGUAAAGCCCUUUUGUUGGGAAAGAAAAGCAGCAGGUUAAUACCCCGCUGUUCUGACGGUACCCAAAGAAUAAGCACCGGCUAACUUCGUG